AUUUUUUUUUUUCCACCAUACAUAAUUUAUCUUGUCCAAAAAAAUUUAUAUAGCAUUUAUCAAAAGUCAAAAUAUUUAUUUUUUAUAUUAUAUUAUACAUAUAUAAUAAAAUAAAAUAAAAUAUAAAUAUAAAUUUUUUAAUGGGAUGUGUAAUGGAUCCACGUCGAAUGCGCGUCCAUGACGUGACCGACACGGACACGCGACGUUUAAAGAAGUCUCCAUGAUGAUGCAUAAGUGAAGACGAUUUGAAUAUUUUGGACAUAUGUUCUGAUAUCUGGCC
rnacentral:lncRNA from 1 species